AACGAACGCUGGCGGCAGGCUUAACACAUGCAAGUCGAACACAUCGCAAGAUGAGUGGCAGACGGGUGAGUAACGCGUGGGAACAUACCCUUGUCUACGGAAUAGCUCUGGGAAACUGGAAGUAAUACCGUAUACGCCCUACGGGGGAAAGAGUUAUCGGGGAAGGAUUGGCCCGCGUUGGAUUAGCUAGUUGGUGGGGUAAAGGCCUACCAAGGCGACGAUCAUAGCUGGUCUGAGAGGAUGAUCAGCCACAUUGGGACUGAGACACGGCCCAAACUCCUACGGGAGGCAGCAGUGGGGAAUAUUGGACAAUGGGCGCAAGCCUGAUCCAGCCAUGCCGCGUGAGUGAUGAAGGCCUUAGGGUUGUAAAGCUCUUUCACCGAUGAAGAUAAUGACGGUAGUCGGAGAAGAAGCCCCGGCUAACUUCGUGCCAGCCGCCGCGGUAAAAC
rnacentral:rRNA from 1 species